rnacentral:lncRNA from 1 species
GCUGGGACUACAGGUGCUCACCACUGCGCCUGGCUAAUAUUUUGUAUUUUUAGUAGAGACGGGGUUUCACCAUAUUGAUCAGGCUGGUCUUGAACUCUUGACCUCAAGUGAUUCACCAGCCUUCCAAAGUGCUGGGAUUACAGGCGUGAGCCACUGCACCCAACCUGAAUGUUAAUUAAUUUAAAUUUCAAUAGUCAUGUAUGGGUAGUAGCUACCAUGCUGGAUAGCACAGUUCUAGAUCAAUUUUAAUAGACUGGGCAGCCCAUUGAGGAUCUUGGAUAUACGUAGUAGACUUAGUUCUACUUCCUCUCUUUUUGCAGGGUCUAUGCCUUGUCUCUUGUCCUAAUACUCUUGACCCCAGCACCAGCAUCUGUCUAGGCUCUAUAACCUCAAGCCACCAUAUAGUCAAUUGGAGUUGGCUUUACUUUCCUUCUGUGACUAAGCUCAGCUAUGUAGUGCAUAUUUUGCAACAUUGUGCUUGAGUAUUCAUACUGGAGAGGAAGGAUAAAUAUCAGCUCAGUCCACAGCUCCAGCUCUUGUGUACUUCUCAAGCCACUUGCCAUUGUUCUUCUGCUACCACUGCCCAUGGAGACUUCCAUUGCUAAUAGCAGCUCCACAGCACUGUAUUUAAUGGCUCCUUCUUAAUCCUAUCCUACAUGACUUGUAGAAAGCUUUGGCUUUGUUGACCAUUGCUUCCUUAAAGCAGUCUUUCCCUUGGCUUCUUUCAUAGUACCAAUUUUCUUUCUACUUAUAUUGAUCCUCCUUUCCAGGCUUCUUCUAGGACUUCUCUUAUUAUGCUCACACCCCCACUACCCUCAUUAUCAAUGGGGAAUCAGAUCUCAGUCUUUUUUUCUUUUUUUUUUUUUUUUUUGAGACAGAGUCUUGCUCUGUUGCCCCAGGCUGGAGUGCAAUGGUGCGAUCUCGGCUCACUACAGCCUCUGCCUUCUGGGUUCAAGUGAUUCUCCUGCCUGAGCCUCUGGAGUAGCUGGGAUUACAGGUGUGCGCCACCACACCCAGCUAAUUUUUGCAUUUUUAAUAGAGAUGUGGUUUCACCAUGUUGGUCAGGCUGAUCUCGAAAACCUGACCUCGUGAUCCGCCUGCUUCGGCCCCCCAAAGUGCUGGGAUUACAGGCGUGAGCCACCGCGCCUGGCCCAGAUCUCAGUUUUAUUUCUUUUCUCACUGUAUAUAUCUUCCCAGGGUGAUUUCAUUCCAAUUGAUGGCUUCAGGUAUAUUUUAUGAGCUGAUGACUCCCAAGUUUGUUGUCAUUUUUGAAGCAUUAACUGUUGUCAUACUUAUCUUUUUUUCUUUUUUCUUUUUUUUAUGGUGAGAACUUUGGUCUAUUUUUCUGGUGAAUAAUAUGUAGCAGGACUGGUACCAGAACCAGGUCAUCCAGAGAUGUUCUGUCUGCUGCCAUCAACUCGGGACCUCAGAAGGUGGUACUCCUCCCCUAAAGGUGAAUUAUUUUAGCUAAAAAAAAACAAAGAGAAAUCCUUAUUUCUAGAUGAAAUAAGAAUCAACAGGAAAUUCCAGGAGAUUUCAGUUACAUCAGUUGUUACAGUUGGUACAUAAUGAUGUAACAUCUGUUCCAAAGAAAACAGCAAGUAUGUAUUUAAUACACUUUUACGAAGUCCCCAUGUUUUC